rnacentral:piRNA from 1 species
UGAUAUACAAACCAGCACUCUUUGGCUUCA